GACGAACGCUGGCGGCGUGCUUAACACAUGCAAGUCGAACGGUGAAGCGCCUUCCUUUUUGGUGGGUGUGGAUGAGUGGCGAACGGGUGAGUAACACUUGAGUAACCUGCCCCCUUCUUCUGGAUAACCGCAUGAAAGUGUGGCUAAUACGGGAUAUUCUGGGUCUGUCGCAUGAUGGGUCUGGGAAAGAUAUUGUUUCGGUGGGGGAUGGGCUCGCGGCGUAUCAGCUUGUUGGUGGGGUGAUGGCCUACCAAGGCGGUGACGGGUAGCCGGCCUGAGAGGGUGGACGGUCACACUGGGACUGAGACACGGCCCAGACUCAUACGGGAGGCAGAAGUGGGGAAUAUUGCACAAUGGGCGCAAGCCUGAUGCAGCGACGCCGCGUGAGGGAUGGAGGCCUUCGGGUUGUGAACCUCUUUCGCCAGUGAAGCAGGCCUGCCUCGUUUGUGGGUGGGUUGACGGUAGCUGGAUAAGAAGCGCCGGCUAACUACGUG
rnacentral:rRNA from 1 species